rnacentral:rRNA from 1 species
UGGGGGAUAUUGCACAAUGGGGGAAACCCUGAUGCAGCGACGCCGCGUGAGGGAAGACGGUUUUCGGAUUGUAAACCUCUGUCUUUGGGGACGAAAGAGGACGGUACCCAAGGAGGAAGCUCCGGCUAACUACGUGCC